AAAAAAUUAUAAUUGGAAAUUUUGUUUCUAAUUUUACCAAACAAAGUUUAUUAAGGAACAAUAAGUUCUGAAAGGCAUAGACAAGUAAGACGUUUCAAGGUGAACAAAAAACACGCAACAUAAAAGAUUGAAGUCAAGAUCAGUAAAGUCCAUUUUGGCAUAUUUACACCCUGCAAUACUGCACUGUUUGCUCCCCUAGGAAGCAUUGGGCACCAAUAUGUGGAUUUAGAAGGCGGUUUCUCUUUGGCCGUGAUUUACAUUGUUCGGGUGCACCACCUGAAUCGGGAACCAAGCGCGACACUUGAAGUAAAGAAUUACCGAUAAGCCGAUAAAGAGCAGAAGCACUAAAGCAACCAAGAAAUACAGCAAUAAAUCGGACAUUUCACUUCACUUUUUUUUUACAAAUUUUUAGGUGAAAAUAUCACAAGCGAACUCUUGCCUUUGUUUUUCUUAGUAGCUGUAAAUAGAGCGCCAAAACAAUGUGGCAAGUCUGUUGUUUAUAUCAAGGUUAUGCCAGAACAGUUAUGCGUAGACGUUUAAAAUUUCAGUAGUUUUAUUUUUCUUGAAAAGUGAUAAGCAACUGCAGAAAAUCUGUCGUCUAAUACACCGUUAUGGCAAAAAGAAACAGACGUCAGCGCCACAUUGACAAUGCGGAUAAACGACGUUUAUUUGUGAAAAUUCAAAAUUACCUCGAUAAAAAAUUCGAUGAAAUAGAUUUAUUUGGACUUUUGUCGGUGUGGGCCGUUUGCGUGUUAACUCUCAUGGCUUUCGUGGUAUUGCUCGUCUAUAUUUCCGUAGUCGCACAAUCGUGGUUUUACAACUUAGUAAUGGGCACGGCGGACGCCGAGGCGUUGUUAGAGAACGAAGAAAUACUGUAAAAAUAACAGUUGAACGGGAGAGAGAGCGGUGUCGAUCGUCACGUGCCGAGAAAACGUGAGAGCGCUCAAGCGACCAGCUAAAACUUUCAUUUGUAAUUAUUUGUUUUAUUUAUUAUAAAGGGGGCUAAUUACGCUUACUUGUAGAUUUAGUCAGCUUUUCGUAUUUUUUAAAUAAAAAACUUAUAUUGUGUUAGCUUUUAAGUUAGAAAUAGUAAAGAAAAUUUAAAUACUGUAAUUAAUAAAAAGCUAUUGGUCACAAAGUACCUAAUCCCACAA